AAAGGAUAUUUAGUUGAUUAGAUUAUCUUUAAAUAAAUUUUGCACAUAAAAUGAUUGUUAUAUACUAUAAAAAUAUUUAUAUAUUUAGUAAUGUGAAUAAAAGAUUUAAGCAUAAAUGUUAAGUACUGUAAAGGAAUAUUUAUAAAUUUAAUAAAAGCAGUUAUAUAAAAUGUACCUUUUGUAUCAUGGUUUAGCAAGAUUUAAUUAUUAAAUUAUUAUUCUCGAAACUUAAUGAGUUAUUACCGUUUAUUUUUGGAAUUUAUCUAUGUAAAUGUGGCAUAAUUUUUGGAAAAAAUUGUAAUGGAAAUUAUAUUUUAUUCGUAUUAAGUGAUGGCUAGUUUUUAUGGAGAUACAUAUAAGUGUAGAUUUAUAUAAUGACUAAUAAAAAUUUGUUGCUUUAGUUUUAUAUAAAAUUGAGAUAAUUAAGGCUAAUCUUAAUUAAUUUAAGAAAAUUAGUAUGUGUAGAUAUAAUAAUAUGUAAGCUUGUAAUUAGCUACUAUAUUUAACUUGUUAUAAAAUAUUUUAAAAUGACUAAAGAUUUAUAUACUAGUUUAUCUUAUAUAUACAUAAAUAUAUAGUGAAACUGUUACACUAUAGUGUUUAUGCUAAAAUGAGUAUUUUUAAUAAUUUUUUUAAAAAAUAAUAGAACUUUUAAUGUUUAUUUUUAUUUUAUUAUGACAUAUAAGUAAGGAACUCGGCAAAAUAACUUAUUUCGCCUGUUUAUCAAAAACAUGUCUUUUUGUAAAAAAAAAAUAAAAAGUCCGACCUGCCCAGUGAAUUAUUUAAACGGCCGCGGUACCUUGACCGUGCGAAGGUAGCAUAAUCAAUUGUCUUAUAAUUAAAGACUGGAAUGAAUGGUUAAACGAAAUUAAGGCUGUCUCAUUUAUAUUGUUUAAAAAUUGGCUUUUAAAUGAAGAGAUUUAAAUUUAAUUAAAAGACAAGAAGACCCUAUUGAGCUUUAAAUGAUUUUAAGGCUAUAACUAUUAUUGAAGAUUUAAAUCUGGAAGAUUUUUUAGUUGGGGCGACUAAGGAACAAAUAGAGCUUCCUAUCAUUAUUAUAACUGAUAUGUUUUGACCCAAUAUAAUUUGGUUAAAAGAGAUAGUUACCAUAGGGAUAACAGCAUAAUCUUUCUUGAGAGUUCUUAUCGAAAGGAGGGGUUGUGACCUCGAUGUUGGACUAAAAUAUCCUAAAAAUGUAGUAGUUUUUGAGGGUUGGUCUGUUCGACCAUUAAAAUUUUACAUGAUCUGAGUUCAGACCGGCGUAAGCCAGGUCAGUUUCUAUCUUUAAUUGUAAAUUUAAUUUUAGUACGAAAGGACCAAAUUAGAAGAAAAGAUAAAUCUAAUGUUUUGAAUUUAUAUAAUUUUGAUUUAAAUAUUAUUUA
rnacentral:rRNA from 1 species